rnacentral:rRNA from 1 species
AGCGAACGCUGGCGGCAGGCCUAACACAUGCAAGUCGAACGAACCUUUCGGGGUUAGUGGCGGACGGGUGAGUAACACGUGGGAACGUGCCUUUAGGUUCGGAAUAACUCAGGGAAACUUGUGCUAAUACCGAAUGUGCCCUUCGGGGGAAAGAUUAAUCGCCUUUAGAGCGGCCCGCGUCUGAUUAGCUAGUUGGUUGAGGUAAUGGCUCACCAAGGCGACGAUCAGUAGCUGGUCUGAGAGGAUGAUCAGCCACAUUGGGACUGAGACACGGCCCAAACUCCUACGGGAGGCAGCAGUGGGGAAUCUUGCGAAAUGGGCGAAAGGCUGACGCAGCCAUGCCGCGUGAAUGAUGAAGGUCUUAGGAUUGUAAAAUUCUUUCACCGGGGACGAUAAUGACGGUACCCGGAGAAGAAGCCCCGGCUAACUUCGUG